GCCUACGGGGCGCAGCAGUCGGGAAUAUUGCGCAAUGGAGGAAACUCUGACGCAGUGACGCCGCGUAUAGGAAGAAGGUUUUCGGAUUGUAAACUAUUGUCAUUAGGGAAGAUAAAAGACUGUACCUAAGGAGGAAGCCCCGGCUAACUAUGUGCCAGCAGCCGCGGUAAUACGUAGGUGGCAAGCGUUGUCCGGAUUUACUGGGUGUAAAGGGCGUGUAGCCGGGAAGGCAAGUCAGAUGUGAAAUCCGGAGGCUCAACCUCCGAAUUGCAUUUGAAACUGUUUUUCUUGAGUACUGGAGAGGC
rnacentral:rRNA from 1 species